rnacentral:RNase_P_RNA from 1 species
UGAGUUGGCCAGACGACCGCGUCGGGAGGUCCGCCUCCCGCCGAGGAACGUCCGGGCUCCACAGAGCGAGGUGGUGGGUAACGCCCACCCGGGGUGACCCGCGGGACAGUGCCACAGAGAACAGACCGCCGGGGCGUUCGCGCACCCGGUAAGGGUGAAACGGUGGUGUAAGAGACCACCAGCACGCCAGGUGACUGGCGUGGCUAGGUAAACCCCACCUGGAGCAAGGUCAGACAGGAUGCGUCCGAGGGCUGCUCGCCCGAGCAUCCGGGUAGGCCGCUGGAGGCGUACGGCGACGUACGUCGUAGAUGGAUGGUCGUCGCCCGCGCCGGGGCAACCGGGCGCGGGAACAGAACCCGGCGUACCGGCCAGCUCAUCCG